ensembl:lncRNA
GCGGGAGGUGUGACUUGACUUCCGCUUAAUCCUCAUCUUGAAGUAAACAACAACUUUCGCCUGUAAAAUGUCCAAAUUCUACUUACGUGUCACAAUUUUGACCAUACGAGGAGCACUUGAACGCAACACGAAUGCGUGCUAGUGCGUGCCCGUGCGGGCCAGUGCCUUUGGAGCAUUUCCACUGUUUAAGCUAGUGCUAGCCACCUUUCUUGUGGAUAUUUUUUGUUUUUGCGGGCGUCUCGGCGGGUCGAGCCGGGUGUGCCCGGUGCCGUGAGGCGGGCCCCCGCCAUGGCCAGCAACAGCCGCCAGUACUGGUCCAUGGGCGAAACCAAAGCCCUGCUGAACAUAUGGGCUGACGAGAACGUGCAGCAACAAAUGGAGGGCGUUUGUCGUAAUGAAGAAGUCAUUCAGUUCAUGGUGGAGGAGCUGGCCAAGUUGGGGAUUCAGCGCACAACCACCCAGGUUAGGGAGAAACUGAAAAAAAUGAGGCACCUGUACAAGACGGCCAAGAGGGACGGGAGGAAGAAUUUCCCCUUUUUCGACUUAAUGGACAGUGUGCUUGGAGGACGGGUGGAGGGUCAGCUGGAGGCAGAGACCUGCGAAAUUCCCAAAUGUAUUAACAGGUCGUUGACCCAGCCAGACAAAUCGCAUUCCACAGAAAGCGUCUCAGCUCCUGCGCUCAAAAGGGGGACACAUCACAUACUCCCAAGUAGGAUCAGGCCGGAGACUCGCAAACGGAGAUGUGACAGCGACACAACAAAGGACUUCCUAAAUGCCAUGACAGAGUGCCACAAGCAGUGGCUGGAGAAGGAGCAGGAGCUGAGGAGAGAGGAGUGGGAGAGGGAGGCCAAGCUGAGGCGGGAGGAGAUGCAACAGGAGAUGGCCCUGAGGCGGGAGGAGGGAGAGAGAGAGGAGAGGCUGCGGCGUGAGGAGAUGGAGGCUCGAAGGAAGGACAGUGAGCUGCUAACGUCUUAUUUGGAACAAAUUGCAAAGUUCAUUGCCAAGGGCCCUCCUGCUUCGUAAGGACAGCGUUACACCAAACACGUCCUGGACACUUAUUUUAGUGCAAAUGACAAAACAAGAGACGUGGCGUUUUGGUGGAGUUUGACUCUCUGCCCACUGACGUGCAGAACAAAUGACUUUCAUUUCUAAAAAGCACAUUUACUCACAUCAUAACAGUAGCACAGUGCACAUGAUCUGUUACCAUUUUGCUGAACACCACUGUCUCACAUUUCUUAGUGACCUUGAAAUCAUGUAUUAUCUGUUCAUUUUAAACUAACUUAAAAACAUUUCCAGGUUGUUUAUUCCACCUUUUCCUGCUGGGAGCAUUUACACAUUCACUAUUGUGGAUAACCACUUGUAUCCUGAUGAAAAUUACUUAAACUUAAUUUCAUAAAUAAAUAAUUCUUCCAUGCAUAUCCCAGACUGUUAACAGUCUCACGCAGCUCUGUUUGUUUUUGAUGUUGGGAGUUUUUCCCUCUGUGAAACUGUCCAAUUGGUGUCAUUCAGAGAGCAUCCAACUGAUUCUUUGAUGCAUUAAUAAAGACUAAGCAAAGCUAUGUUAAUUAAAAAUUGGCCCCAAAACUGAGAGGAAUGCUGUUGGGAAAAAAAAAAAAAUCCAAGUCACACAGUUGUUUUAUAUCCCCAAGUGUGAAUGGGGAAAACGGGAUGCUGUGGAGGAAGAAAGCAGACCCCCUUCUUUAUCUCUACCUGUCACCUUCCACUGUUAUCAUUUUAAUUUCCCUCCAUAAACCCCUGCAGAUCAAUAAUUGGUUUCCCCCUGGUUUAAUAUUUUCUGUGUCCCAUCAACAAGAAUUCUCUACUGUAAGGAACAGCCCACUCUGUUUAGGUAUAAAUUUUUUAAGUGCCCAUUCUACGGCUCUCUUCCUUUUCUGGUAAUGGGGCCACAGAUAUCAGCAACUCUGUUUGUUAUGAUUGGGUAAAUCCUUACUUACAAGCUGACUAUCAAAAUAAAUUUGGUAAAAGAAAAUUAUUGUCUUCAUCGUCUCCUCAUAGGUAAAAACAGAUUGGCAGAAUGGCUAACUCCAAGGUAAGAGUGCAGUAAUAAUGAACAAUACUGAAUUAUCAAUGAAUUGGCCCUCAUUCUGAACAAUCUGUUAGCAAUAAAGCACUAAAAAGCUGGGUGUGGCUCACUGUACAAUCUCUAGAUAAAUGCACUUUCCCCACUGGUCAACAAUGACUAUUGAAAUGAAAUGAGUAGGACUGUUUUUGUCAAAUCACCAUUUUGCUUGAAUUCCCACUUCCCAAAUGGGGAUCAUUUCUAGAGUCCCACACAGAGACAUUCAUGUCACAGUAUCCUACAUUUAGAAACAAAUGACAUUAUCACAUCAUUCACUAUAGUUAGAUCACUGUGCAGAGUCUGUACUGUGAUAAUGCUUCUUUCUUGGAAAGAUGUCUUUUGAUGAAGUAUUAAUUUUUAGAUUAUACUGCAUCUUAAU